CUUGGUCAUUUAGAGGAAGUAAAAGUCGUAACAAGGUCUCUGUAGGUGAACCUGCGGAGGGAUCAUUAUCGAACGGGGCCUCCGGGCUACCUUCGCUCAAACCCGUGGAUACCAGAUGUGCUUCGGCGCCUCGUGCGUCGAGUCAAUGCAUCCAUGCUUCGUCGUCUGAUUAUAAAUGGAAUUUUAAAACUUUCAAUAAAGGAUCUCUUGGCUCUCGUAUCGAUGAAGAACGCAGCAAAGCGCGAAAUGUAAUGUGAAUUGCAGAACAUUGUGAAUCAUCGAAUCUUUGAACGCACAUUGCGCCUCUCGUCAAUGGGAGGCAUGCCUGUCUGAGCGUCGUUUAAAACCAUGAUCUCUUCUAGGGGUCGUAUUAGGUUUCGCCUCUGCCGGCGUCUCCUCAAAGUAAUCGUGUCUCAGAGCGGACGAGAUCCAUUAGGACAGAACGUUCGAGGACCCUAAAUACUCUCUGACUUGACCUCAGAUCAGGUAGGACUACCGCCUGAACUUAAGCAUAUCAAUAAGCGGAGGA
rnacentral:rRNA from 1 species